AGUAAGACAGAUGGUCGCUGCUGCAGAACCGAAAGGCUGCAGGGGAGGAAAGUCCGGGCUUCACAGGGCAGGAUGCCAGAUAACGUCUGGUGGAGGCGACUCCAAGGACAGUGCAACAGAAAUAAACCGCAGGAGUAUUCCUGUAAGGGUGGAAAGGCAGUGUAAGAGACUACCGCCUUCCUGGUAACAGGAAGGGCACAUGUAAACCCCAUCCGAAGCAAGGCCGAACAGGGAGCAUGGGCGGCCCGUCCGCUUCCGGGUAGGCCGCUGGAGCCUGGCGGUGACGCCAGGCCUAGAUAGAUGACCAUCCAACGACAUAACCCGGCUUAUCGUCUUGCUCA
rnacentral:RNase_P_RNA from 1 species